rnacentral:lncRNA from 1 species
CUGGAGCAGUGAGUGUUGGUCAUCAUUGUCCGGUCUGCUGCAUCACAGAGCAGAAGGUAAGCUCAGGUCGACACACAUACUGAAUGUGUGCAUCUGCCUUUGUUUUCUCUAAAUCCAGCUCUGUAUGAUGAAUCUAGAAACCCACAGAGAAAUAUAACCACAGAUAUUAAAAGGACUUUAACGUGAUCUUAUCCAGCUUUAGCAAACACAGAUGUAAUAUAUUUCUCUUUAAUGAUUCAAGUCCCAGCACCACUAAAUGUUUUUGCUGACUUUUGUGCAGAGAGGAGUGUUUUUAUCUGCUUUUGCUUGGUUGGACUUGGUGAAUGGUUUGUGUGAGUGUCAUCUGCUAAUGUGAGGAAUCAAGGAUUUCAGACUCAGUAAAACAGAAAGAAAAAACAUGUCCAAAUCAGUACCACUGCGAUCACGUCUUUUUCUUUUAAGUUAUCGUUGUGUUCCAACCCCUAAAAACACACGCACACACAGCACAGUAAGUUUUCCUCUCAUUAUACAAAAAAGUAUGUUUCAAUCCGCCCACUACCAUUCCUCCUUCUUGUGUCUGAUCUUUCAACAGUAUCAACAAGCAGCAUGUUUUACAGAGAUGCCCAAAUGUUGAUUUAUUUCAAAAUCUUCAUCCUUGUUAUCACAACAGGUAAUCUGUGUAAUGGCAAGGCUUGUUUAAGAAGUAAUGAGUUGCAGUGAUUCACAGACAGUGCACUGACAUCAGCCAGCUGCACGUAUACAGGAUCAACUCAACAAAUAAGACUCAUAACAAAGUUCCAUAUUUUUCAUCCCUGUCUUAAGAAAGUGAAUUGUGGUAAAGGAGCCUCUGUAGGUAGAAAUGAGCAUUCUUUUCAGAAAUUGGAGAUUUGAUCCUCUUCAUUGAUCUCUGUACUGGAUUUCUGAUCUCUAUGUACUACAAGCCAUGCUCAUUAAACCUGUGCACCUGUGGGGAGCAACAUGUGACAGCUAGUUCAGAAACACUAAUGCAACAAAUACCAUGUGUAAUUUUCACCAUCACUUUUUGUAAAUGGAGAGAGUGAAAUGUGAAUUUAUGAAAAUAGCCGAGCAUGUGUAAAUGUAGUCUGAGAGGACUGCUUCACAACCCUAUAUCAUGGCUUAACCGUUAACACCUGUGGCAUGUUAAUUAGCUGGAAAACAAGCUAAUUGGCUGUUGUUUUCCCCACAGGGUGAGAUCUGUCAAGGUGUAUGAUUUAUCACCCCGAAGGACAUGAGGGAGCCUUUCUGAACUUGAGGACUGUACGCUAACUAGCCCACAUCUGUAAAGGGUGAAUGAUAACUGAUCUCUUCAUGCAGGGGUGGAGAUAAAACAACUCAAACUUCUCCAAACCUCCAAAAAGUGAUUUUGAAUAUGAUGGUUAAAAAGGCUCUUACCAUCCGUCAGUGUGUUUAUCUAUCCAUCCAUCUAUUCAUCCAUCCAUCCAUUCUGUCUGUUCAUAUAUCCAUCCAUCUGUUUAAUCAUCAUCCAUUGAUCCAUCCACCCAUCCAUUCAUCAUCCAGUCAUCCAUCCGUGUAUAUUUUUUAUUCAUUGUCCACUCUCUUGGGUGAAAUAUAACCCAUAUAUAAAUGUAAAACCCUUGGAAGUCAAAUGAUGAACAAUUCCUCCAAGUAUAAAUGUGAGUUUUACGGUGAGUAGAGUUAAUUUAGAAUUCAGUCGCUCUGUAUUAAAGAAUGAAUCCCUUCUGUCCUCCUAAAACAGUGAUAGAACGUCAAAUUUCACAGUUAAUUAUAUCCAAGCAGGAGGAGAUGUAAUUUGUUAAACAAGUCACUUUUGAAGCAAAAUAUCGUAAAUGAGUCAAUUUGAAGGUACAUUAAAAAUGUUGGAUGGCAUCCUAUGUAAAGUCCCAGAGUGUCUUCACAGAUUAGGCUGUGUGCACAGGUAAAUGUGAUUUAUUUUGUCGGAGAGCAGGUCUGUUCCUGUGUGAACCAAACUGAUGUGGAAUAUGUGAAGUUCUGAUGAAUGUUUUAAUAUCAGUUAAAAUGAUAAUGAAUUUUAUCUAAGGAGAUUUUUCUCCUUAGAUAACUACGGACUCUUCCUUCAGUCAGCUUUUGACUACGAGUGAUGGGCUCUUACAUGAAUAUACAGUUUUUCUGUUGGAGAGCAAUUUUGAAUAUGUCCUUCAGACUUGAUUGGAGUAGAUGCCCAGAAGCUCUAUGUAUCAAUCAGUAUUCAGUAACAUCAUUUAGGAUUUAGCAUUUUACAUCCAUCAAAAACAAGUGAAAAUGAUUCUCUCAGGAACUGACUGUGGCAAAAGACUCAAUUGCAGACAUGUGGUUCCAACAGGCAAAACACAGGUAUAUUGACAGUCCAAGAUCGGUACACAAGAAAGCAGAAUCACAGGCAGAGGCGUCCAAAAUGCUAGGGUAAAAGCAGGGUCAAAAACUAACAAGGUUGAGCUCAAUGACUGAGAUAACUAGAAGAAGUGCUGGAACGUGAUGAUAAGUACAACGAGAUGGUGACAGGACCAUGAGAGACAUAAGGUUAAGUACAAGGGGUAAUGAGGGUGAUGGGAGACAGGUGUGGAAGAACAAUCAGGCGGCAGGUGUGACAAGACGGGGACAGGGCAGACAGGAACACAUCUGAAACAGAGACAGGAGUUAGUGACUUUACAAUAAAACACACCAGAGACAAAAGACAUGAAAUGAACCAAAUAAAGAUAACUUGACCCUGGUCAUAACAGAUUCACUCAAAAGCAUUGUCCAUGAACUCCAACUCCAUUGUGUUUCCCAUUUUGGAUAGUACAAAGGCACCAGAAACAUUUGUGUAUGUUAACAGAGGCUAGUCCAUCUCCCAUUGUCUUUAUAAUAGGGUGACCAUACGUCCCCUUUUAUCCGGACAUGUCCUCUUUUUUGGGGGGGCUGUCUGGGUUUGUCCGGUCUGCUUUAUAAGUUUGAUGUGAAAUGCAGUCAGAUGUAAUCAUUCAUUAGACAGAACUAGCCUCCCUGCUUUCUAUCGGGUUUCUAUCCAUUUGUAAAGAUAUGGUUAGGGAUAAAGGACUCUGGGGAAAGAAAAAAAGGCUGAUAUUCUGAUUUAGAAAAAAAGUUAAAAUUCUGAGAAUAAAUCAGAAUUCUAAGAAGAAAGUCACAUUUAAAGUUAAGUUUUUAGAGUACAACAGAAUUCUAGAAUUACAAAAAGUCAGAAUUCUGAGAAACACGACAGAUUUUUGGUUGAAGCCAGAAUUUUUUUUUUUUUCUCAGAAUUUCAAAAGAAAAUUUUAUUCUGGGAUUAAAGUUGGAAUUUCUGAGACCAAAGACACAUAUCUGAUUUUUUUUUUCACAGAGUUCUAAAUUUCUCUUAGAAUUCAGAUUUUUAUCUCAGAAUUUUGACUUUGUUCCAGUAGUUUAAUCUUCUUCCAUAAAAUGAGUUAUAAAGCCUUUAUUGUCCAUUGCUGGAAGCUGUGGGGCGCUCCUUAGUGCUUGUUUCAAAGAUGGACCUAAUCAUACUCUCAUCGGCAUCAUGUGACAAAUUAGCCAAGCUUUUUGUCUGUAAACGUUGCAACUCCAAAGAGUUUCAUCAUCUCUGAACUUGUUUGCUGCUUAUUUAGCCCAUAUUAAAUUUGGAAGAACAAUCCUUUAUAUCUGAAGCAAAGCUCACACAGAAGCCUUUAUUUCCUUCAAAACAGAAAUGAACAAACUUCCUAUUGGUGAUUAACUUUGGCAUAACAAAUGCUUUCUUUCAAAUGCUGAGUUCAAAACCUCAAUACCAUCAAGAAAUUGCUAACUAGCACUAGCAAUAUGAGAUGACCAGUUCUCUUUCACAGUCUCUUUUGUAAAUAUCAAGUCUCUUUUUCCUCCCCAGGGCUGUUUAUCUUCCCUCUUCAGCAUGGUGUCGACCAUUUGUCUCUAUUUUAGCAGCUGAAUUUGCGAUGUUAAACAUAACUCAAGUCUCUGAAAUGUAGAUGACGACCCAGUUCCUCACUGAUUGGCAGUCUACCAGUGACUUAAGCUCAUCACAUUUUCCCACCGAACAGCUUCCCUGUCCCCCGCCUGUCUCACAGCUAAUUUUAUUGAUGGCGCCUUCUUACACAAGACAGGAGUCACUUCGAUUUUCUGCAGCAAUCUUGUGCAAUUUUAACACAUUUUCUCCUCUUCCAGGGCAGUGAACGUUAGCAGUAAGUAUAUCAUAAUUAAAGGAAAAUUGGCGAUAGUCGAACUCUGAUUGAAAAAAGACAAUUAAAAGAGCCGUGAGAUGAACCACCUGAGCCUUGCUCAAUCAAUGGAAACAGCUGGACUCUUUUGUUGUCGAAAGAAAAUACCAUAUGAGAGGUGCUAUCAGAAGUGGACAAUAAUUUCAUAACUCCAGCUCUCCUUUCUCAAUGUAGGUGGCUGCUCUGGAUGAGUAAUUUCUACUUAGAGAUAUAAGGGCGCAUGGAGAGAAAGUCAGAAGUGGAGGUGAGAGGAAGGUGGAUGAAGGAGAGAGAGGUGUUGGAAGACAGGAGCUGCAAGUGAGUGCAGGCACUUAAGGACUAUUUUUAUCGCCCAUUCUACCGGCACUUACAGGUGUCUUUGUCUCCCCUGCUUGGCUCUAAAUUUACAGAAAUAAUAGGCCAAUCAAAACCCAUAUUUCACAUUUGCAGGAGCCUAAUGCUGUUAUUUCUAUACAUUUGCUUGUCACCAAUAGCAGCAUUCUUCGAGGGUUAUCUAAAUCUUAUUUGAUGGCUUGCCACAGAAGAUAUAGAAUCAGCAAUAGUAAAAUCUUUUUGUUUGACUAACUCUGCCAGCAUCUGUUUUACAGUUUGUAUUUAUACCCACGGAGAAGAAUAUAUAUUAACUCCUAAGUACAACAUUUAACAGGAGGGAUGCUGACAUAGGUGGCUGAUGGUAAUGGAUGGACAAACAACCCAGAAUAUCGACCCAAACAGCAUGGGUUUGAGUCUAAAGAAAAUCAAAGUAAACCUAACCAAAUCCAUAAUGAGCUCAACCAAACAGACUCUUUCACAAUAAUCUAAUAUAAGACAGAUAGCAGGGCUCCAAGUAAAUACCUGGCGUGUUAGAGACCCCAACUAGGGGCUGUGGAAAAGUAGUAUUGAUGACUAUGGCUGAAAUUGGUUGGAGAAUAACAUGCACUUUGUCUAAGUGAAAAAAGGAAUUUAAAACUCUGUGCCCAUGUCCGAAUGAAAGCUCCUGUGUGGGUUUUUACUUUGAUUAUUUAUCUCUUUGCUGAUCCUGUCUUGUACAUGCUUAAGUUGUUUUCUUUUCCCCAUUAAAGCUUUUAUUUAUCUUUUUUUUCCUAAUGUCUAGCUGCUCACUCACAAUAAAUCUGGUUAUGAAUAAUUUAGGACAGCCAGUUUUGGCAGACUGUGGCUAAUUCCUCUGUCUGACAUCUACCCAGUUGCAGGGGUGACAGAGAUAAAACCAAAUUAUAAAAUGUAAUCAGUGUCUGAUGGUCUUGUUUACUUUUGGAGGUCACAAAAAGGUGUUGGUAUUAAAUUCUGUCUGAAUCCUUUUCAGUUACAAGACUUUUCAGAGAAACUAAAGAGUUCAACCUCAAAUCAUUCACACCGGUAUGACAACAAGUGAUGGAAAAAUGUUGUCUAACAUGUCAUUUUGUCUUUUGAAAUGGCUAACUACCGUAUUUUUCGAGCACUAAGGCGCUGUUUGGUCCGCUUUAAAAGGACCAGAGUUCGUUUCCUCUGAUAGUCUGCUUCGUUUGGGCAGGUGUGAAAGCUCAAUCCCAACUCUGGUGCGGACGAAACAAGCGAACUCUGGUCCGCCUGAAAACAUGGGUCUCGGUUCGCUUGCAAGUGAACCCUGGUUUGGCUCGUAUGCAGUGUGAAAGCUCAAACACAGGACCAAAUGUACGUAAUGACUCUAUAUGCAGUGCAUACACAGUACAUCUUGGGUAGAGGAAGAACGGCGUCACUUGUUGCUAUGGCAACAUGUGACCGCUGACAUUAGCAGUUGCUAGCUAGCUUAGCUUAAUUGUCUGAACAACAACAACCCAUAAAUUCACAAUUUGGCAUAUUUAAACAAAAUAAAAUCACAACUAUCAACAGUCACAGUCCUUAAACUCAUAUGUUGUCACAUGUUUGAUCGUCAAAGUUAGAAAAAUAAUAGGAUCAAUCCCUGAUAAGCUACGAUAGCAUUAUAGGAACAGUUGCGCUCACUAGCGAUGUAACAUUCCAUGAAAUAAUGUGAUGAAGCACAAUACAAGACGGCUAGUCCACCCCUGUUUGUAAUCUGUGAGGUUACAUACUCCUCCUACUUUGUCCAAUCGACGAGUGCCCCUUUCAACCACGUGAUGCUGCUCGGAAAGUUCAGUGCGCUUUACAAAUCAUAGUGUGAAAGCAGAACCGAAACAAGUGAUAAAUGCAACAAUGUUGCGACUUUCAGCUCCCCAAUCGAACCAAGUCUGCUUGGUCAGGUGUGAAAGCGGCCUAACUCCUCACAGUGUGUCUCUUUAAGAUAGGCAAUGCAUAUUACAACAUACAAUAUUUAAACAUACAGAACCAUCCACCCUCACAUUCUCAGGCGUGUGCUCCCUUUGACAAGUGAAAGGAUAAAUGGUAAAAUUGAUGCCUUUUGAGGGUAAAACAAGCUGAACUGGAUUUGUGGCCUGUGUGCAGGGGCAGCAGUGAUAGUCUUUCUGUGUAUUUGCAAUCUAAAACUUGACAACUAUUCAAUGGAUGGCUGUGAUAUUUGAUAAAUCCUUCAGAGGAGACCAAAGAAUCAAUCUUAUCAGUUUUGGAGACUGCACAAUUUGGCAUUUAUAUUGCUGCUGUAAAACAACAUGACAAAAAGAAGACCUCAAGUGACUCGGCUCCAUCUUCUUCUGAACACUUGGUAUGUUAACAAACAGGACUGAAAUAUCAGCCACAAUUCUAAUGUUUCAAGUGCAAACAGAAAAGUAACAUCAGAAAAAUUUAGAGUAUAAGGCUAAAGUGAAUUGUCUUCCCCCUGUAGAAAAAAAAAAAGAUAUAUCAUAUGCAUAAUCUGCUAUAAACACUCUUGAGUGGUUUGCUCUAAAAACAAAAUCACCCCGCUGUCUUUCAGUUGUCAAAUGUCUGCCCCCCUUUGAAUCCUUCCUGAAAUACACAAACAAGGCAAUGUCUGAUCUGAGUGCUUCAAAUAGCACCGGAAGCAGUGGGACCAGCACAGAAUCUAACUGUAAAGAAUCAGUGGAUCUUCUUGUUUGUUUUUGUCAGUCAUUUAGAGGCAUCGGUAUUAAUUACUGUCUGUUUUAUAAGCAGUUAAAAACUCCUCAGAGUGUGUUUAAAUAUAUGGUUACAAGCUGUCUGUCGCCCUCCCAACCCAAACACGGAUUUUUCGUCAAACAACCUUUGUGAAUGCUAAACACCCAGGAGCUGUGGGAUCAAGGGAACAAGCGUAUAUGCAGUAUUAAUUUACUUCAUAAUGCAUAACACAAGUGCUCACAGGUGCAUCACAGAUGGGAUCCUUUGCUGCUUGGACUCAAAACUACAUCAGAAGGAAAAUUAAAUGAUGGCUCCAUUAGGCCAAAGAUUUUUAAGCCUCAUGCUGGGAUCAUGAAUGCAACUUCUCUGUCUUUUUUUUUUUCUGUGAACUAAAAGAAGCAAAACAAAACACAUCUGUAAACGGAGUGUUUUGUGGUGUCUGCCCUGUCUUUGAACUGAUUGCCUCUGAGGCUCUUUUUCUGUUUUUACCCUCUAACACUUUGACUUGCUAAAAGCCACUUUACACAAAUCCACACAAUGCAGAACACUAGACCCACGGUCGCUGUAACACAUGAAAUAUGAAUGUAAUUUUUAGUUUUAUGUGCAUGUAGUGCCAGUAGUAAGUAACUUUUUAUUCAUUUAUUCAAAUGAUAUUCCUGCUUCUGGAAUAAUUUCAGUUUUGAUGUAAACACUCUUUAAAAGUCGUUGUCUGGUGUUUGUGAGCGUCCUCGAUGUGCGCAGCUGGAACAGACACGGUGAGUGGCGUCUUGAGGAGUGUGCCAAUGAGACAGCGGUGAGGUGGAGAUGUUUUACAACAGCACAAGGGGAGCUCUUUGAAGGCAAGCAUUUUUUUUUGUAAUUAACAUUUUUUUAUUGUAUUAAUAUGGCACUCAGGAAACCAUAUACAUUCAUAGUAGGCAUACAACACAUUUAACCCCCCCUCCACCCCCCACCCAUAAACAAACAAACCAAAACAAAACAAAACAAAAAGUCACCCAACUUUACAAAUGAUUCUUGGCUGUACAUAAAUGUAGUUCUCAUAUCACAGUAGCUAGGUAUGCACAAUGAGAUAAAAUGAAACAAGAACAAACAAUAAAAUAAUAGGAUAUUAAAAAUAAAUUUAAAAAUAAAUAAAUAAAAGAAUGCAUCUCUCUACUCAUACAUCUGAUGUUUUGUCCUCCAAGAAAGAUAGGUAUUUCCCCCAUUUUUUAUAAUAAACCUCAAGUCUACCAAAUGACUUCCAUGACAACCUUUCCAAGGCUGCCACUUUAGCCAACUGAGCAGACCACUCCUGUGUUGAGGGCACCCCCUCAGUCUUCCAUUCCCUGAGUAAUAUCUGUCUUCCUGUCAUAAUGCUAGUUUGGAUCCAGCUUUUAAUGUGCUUACUCCCCUCUGUUAGGACAGAGUCAUCUCCCAAAACAAAAAGUCUGGGGCAGAAUUGUAUUGGAAUCUCUGUUAUCUCACUAAUAAAGCUGUGAAUCCAUGACCAGAACUGCUGAACUUUAUCACAGGACCAUAGUGUAUGUAAUAGAUAGCCCUCUGCAGCUUUGCACCGCCAGCAGUUUGAGUUCUCAAUCAGACCUAGUCUGAACAGUCUAGAGGGGGUCCAGUAAAAGCGGUGCAGGAUUUUGAACUGCAUCAAACGCACUCUUGCAUCCCUAGACAUAGUUUUUAUGUUCUUACAGAUCUUUAGCCACUCCUCCUCUUCUAUUCUCCAACCAAGGUCUCUCUCCCAUGUAUUUUUAAGUGCUAGCAAGCCUCCAUCCCCAGUUGUCUGAUUCAGCAUAGAAUAGUACAUAGAGGCCUUGAAUCCUUGCCUAUAGUAUCUCAGUAUGUCCUCAAGUAGUCCAGCUGUCUUUGGAGCAGAAUGAGCAAAAAUGCUCAUUAACAUGUGGCGUAGCUGUAAGUACCUAUAGAAAUGUGACUUGGGGAUCCCAUAUUGAUGACUUAACUCAUCAAAUGAUUUCAAAGUGUUGUUGGAGUAUAAAUCACCCAGAGUAGCAAUACCCUUCUCCCUCCAAUCCUUCCACCACACAGGGGAUUUGUUAAUACAUAAUUUGGGAUUUAACCAGAUACUAGAGUACACAUUUAGAAAAGGAUCUAGAUUAAACAGUCUGGUAAUUUUACUCCAUAUCCCUUUCAUGUUGGAGAAUAUUGGAUGACUUUUGAUUGCCCCUGAGAGCUUAACUGAGAGACACUGGAGUAGUGGCACAGGGGCAAUAGUUUGUUCAAUAGAGAACCAGGGUGGAGCCCUCUCUGGUGGGAGUGACCAGUGGGCUAGAUGUCUCAAACUAAAGGCGUAAUAAUAAAAUAACAUAUUAGGCAAUCCUAAACCCCCUCUAUCAACAGGUCUUUGUAGUUUUUUAAUAUGUAAGCGGGGCUUCUUACCAUUCCAAACAAAUUUUUUCACUAUCCUAUCAAACCAUGUAAAGUAAGUCAUGGGAAUCUCCAGAGGAAUAGAAUGAAUUAAAUAAUUUAGUUUAGGGACACAGUUCAUUUUAACCACAUUAACCUUACCAACCAUUGAUAACUUUAGUGUUGCCCAUCUACUGGUAUCACAAUCAAUUUUAUUUAGUAAUGGAUCGAAAUUUACCUUAACUAGGUCUUUUAGCUGUGGUGGAAAGAGUAUGCCCAAGUAUCUUAUACCCUGCCUGGGCCAUUGAAAUGCGCCUGGUUGGAAGGCUGGGGGUGGGCAGUAAGCUGUUAAAGGGAGCGCCUCUGAUUUAGACCAAUUCACCCUAUAUCCUGAAAACUUUGAAAAUGAAUUAAUUAUUCUCAAAAGAGCAGGCACUGACCGACCUGGUUCAGAGGCAAAUAAUAAAAUAUCGUCUGCAAAAAGCAGAAGUUUAUGUACUUCGCCCCCUGCCCUUACUCCUGGAAAGUCAGUAGCCCUUCUUAUAGCAGCUGCCAAAGGCUCUAAUGCCAAGCAAAAUAACAAGGGUGAUAGGGGUGAGCCUUGUCUGGUUCCUCUCCCUAGGGUGAAAUAGUCUGAUAUGAGUCCAUUGGUUUGAACCGCAGCUUCUGGUUGAUUGUAAAGUAACUGAAUCCAUUUGAUAAACUUACUACCAAACCCAUAUAUAUCCAGUAUUUUUAACAAAUAGCCCCAUUCAACCAUAUCAAAAGCCUUUUCGGCGUCUAAAGAAAUGGCUGCCACAGGGGAUUGCUCAUCUGACACAGCCCACAUUAUAUCAAUAAAGCGCCUUACAUUAUCUGUAGAACUGCGGCCAUUAAUAAACCCAACUUGGUCAGGGUGAAUCAAAGACGUUAUGACUUUGUUCAAACGGUUAGCUAAGAUCUUUGAUAUAAUUUUUACAUCCAACUGGAUCAAAGAGAUUGGUCUGAAAUUUUUACAUUCUGUGGGGUCUCUCCCUUUUUUAGGAACCAAGGUAAUGAGUGCCUGUCUCAUAGUUUGAGGUAAUAUCCCUUUUUCCAGUGAUUCUGCAUAUAGAUCUAGCAGCAGUGGGGCUAACUCCGCUGCAAAGCUCUUAAAAAACUCUGCAGUAUAGCCAUCGGGACCAGGCGAUUUUCCUGCAGGCAGUGCUUUUAUCACUUCUAUAAUCUCUUCUACCGUAAUAUCUUCAUCUAGAAUUUGUUUCUGCCUUUCAGACAAUUUAGGCAGUUCUAAUGGGUCAAGAAAAGCAAGCAUUUCUUCCUCUGUUGAGGUAGAAGUAGAACUGUAAAGGCCCAUAUAAAAUUCCUUAAAACACUUGUUAAUAUCUCCAGUUGAUGUUAAGGUAUCUCCACUUAACGCCCUGAUCGCUGGAAUAGUGGAGACCUGCUCUCUUUCUUUAAUUAACCUGGCAAGCAGCUUCCCUGUUUUGUCCCCUGACUCAAAAAAGGUUUGCCUUGCCUUAAAUAAUAGAAAUUCAAUUUUUUUAGACAAGAUAGUAUUGUACUGGUACUUUAAUUGUGUUAACUCCUUAAGAAUAUUGUUAGACAUCCGUCUCUUUAGCUCUGCCUCUAAGCAUUUAAUUUUCCUUUCCAAUUCCAGAAGUUCUUUAGCUUUUGUUUUCUUGAUGGAUGAAGUAACUGAAAUAAUGCGACCUCUGAUGACAGCUUUCAGAGCCUCCCAGGCCACACCCAUAGAUGUACCUGUGGACCAGUUAGUCGCAAUAUAUAAAUCUAGCUCUGCCUUCAUCCAUAUCAUAUUGUCAGGAUCUUGUAAGAUGGAGGAGUUAAGCCGCCAUCUAGUAGAACGCUGUCUUUCACAAUAGGGCUGGAUUUCUAAACAAACAGAUGCAUGAUCGGAAAUGAUUAUAUUUCCUAUUGAGCAGGCAAGCACUGAAGGUACCAGAGGCUUUGAUAAUAAAAAAUAAUCUAUCCUUGAGUAUAUCUUAUGGACUGGGGAAAAGAAAGUGUAGUCCCUCCCACUGGGAUUUAAGAUCCUCCAAAUGUCCACCAACCCCAAAGCUUUACACAUUCGUUGCAGAGUAAGGCUUGCUCGUGGAGACCUACCCACUGCACCCCCACUAUGGUCUAACACAGGGUCCAUCAGUAAGUUGAAGUCUCCACCCAGUACAAUGUUGUGGUUACCCAUAGCAUUAAACCUCCCCUCCAGAUCUAGAAAAAAUAAAGGAUCAUCUCCAUUAGGAGCAUAUAUAUUUGCCAGGAUAACAGUCUGCCCCUGAAUUUCUGCCAAUACAAUAAUGAUUCUUCCUGAAUUAUCUUUUGUUUGUUGGAUACAUUUAAAUUGUAAAUUUUUAUUAAUAAGUAUGGCAACUCCCCUACUAUUGCUAGUCCCUUCACUAUAAAAAACGUGACCAACCCAACCACUACAGAGUUUGAUAGACUCUGUUGGCGAAAGAUGAGUUUCCUGCAAGAAUACCACAUCACAUUUAUCUUUCCUAAUGCUUGACAUUACUUUUUUCCUCUUCACUGGAUUCCCUAACCCUUUAACAUUCCAUGUAAAGAGACGCAUAUUACUCGUCUUAGACAUAUUUAGCACUAACAAAAAAUGAACUUGCACAUGGCUUACCACCAAGAUCUUGAAACAAAACACUGCGUUGGUGACUUAACAAAAAACAACCCCAAAAAACCCUGACACAUAGAAUAUGCAUUAGAACCCGAACUCUGCAUAUCCUGUUACCCAUUACGUUAACCUCGCUGUGGUCCAUGACUCCUCUACGAGUCUCCCUCUUAUGGGCCCCGCUGGCUCCACUGUUAGCAUUCAUUCAACCAGAACCAUAGUGACGUCGCGUCCUUUUAGUAAUAUUAAACUGAGCAAAAUCGUCAAACCUCGUCAGUCAGCACACAAGUAUAAUGGCAGUCUAAGUUAUGAGUCCAUUACUCUCGCCUUCAUCUCCCUAAAUACUCACGAUCAUUACAUGCUGUCAAUAAAAGUCAUGGCUUUCUUCGGGCAAGAAAAUGACUUCUCGCCGUCCUCGCACCUGACCUUCAAUGUAGCGGGAUACACCAGUCGAAAGCUCACCCCCCGGUCAUGCAGCUUCUUCUUACAGUCUUUAAACUUAUCCCUUUUCAGCAUUGUAGACCGGGAGAAGUCCGGAAAGAGCAUGAUGUUGCUGUUGACCCAGGUCAGCUUCCCCUUGUUCCUGGCCGCUCGUAGCACUAAAUCCCUGUCGGAUGAUCGAAGAAACUUCGCCAGAAUUGGACGUGGCUUCCCUCCUAUCGGCGGGCGUUGGGAGGGUACUCUAUGUGCUCGUUCAAUCUCCACCGUCUCCUCGAUGCUAAGCAACUCCGGUAUCAGAUCCUCCACAAAUUUGGCCACCUCGGUCCCUUCCGCUCCUUCUGGGAAUCCAAGAAAACGAACAUUGUUGCGUCUUGAUCGAUUUUCCAUAUCUUCCAAUUUCUCCCAAAUGGCCUCAACAUCCUUCUUGUUAGCGAGAGGAUUAGCUUGCAAGUCUUUAUCCACUGAUUCGAGGUAUUCUACCCGCCUCUCCAUUUCAUCAAUUCGUGAGAUUAAAGUGGAGACUUUAGCUUCGGUUGACGCAGUGGUCCGGCGAAUUUCUGCCAGUCCCUCUAUUUCGGUGGAGAUCUUUAUCAAAAUUGCGUUAAUAUUGCUAAUAUCCUGGCUUAUAUCCUGAGAGACGUGGCCACUGGAUGUAGCAUUAGCACCGCCAUCUUUAUCGCCCCCAUUCUGCGAACGCAAAAGCCUUUUAAUGUCGCCACCGGCGGGCGGUUUCGAGCCUCUUGACAUCUCCAAGAACUUCUAAUGCUAUUCUCACAAGCCGACUAUUUCUUUCUGGUUUUAAACCAACCUUAAAAUGAUAAUUACAGCAGAGCCUCGCGGAGCACAGUUCUAGGCAGCCUUUCCUCGCAUUGCGUCACGUGACCCUCUUUGAAGGCAAGCAUAAAGUGCCUGCACAAUUAGACUAAACUGUCAAGUCCUAGUAAGUAAUGUUUGUUCAUCUGUCUUUGAGUAAAGUGCUGAACUCCUUGUAACCUUGUGUUAAGUAAUUGCUGAACACUAUAAAAGGCAAAAUUUGUUUUUAGUUGAAUGCAAUGGAACUUAGUAGAGCUAAAAACUUUGGUCAAUAGCUGCAUGUGAAGUAGCAAGAGACUACUGAAUAAAUAAUACUCAACUGCAGCAUCUCUUUCUGCAUCUUCUUCUUACCGGGGUCUCAGUAAAUGGCUGUUUAACAUUAGUCUGGUUCUGCUCAAAGUUCUGGCUGUUAAAAGUAAGGACUGUUAUCUUGCUCUCUUACUUGCUAAUGGUGGACUUCGUAAAUAUUACCAAAGAUUUGUUUGGAUUUGUACAUUUCGGAAUUUAACAUGAAUUGGGACCAUAUUAAUCAAGAUUUAUGGACUGAUUGACCAAUUUGCCCAACUAAUUGUUGUUUUGCUCUUACAAGCAGCAUGUUGCAGUAAAAUGUAAACUAUAUCAAGAGAAUGACCAAACCGAUGCUUAUUUUAAUCUUAUUUUAAAUCAUGGCGAUGUCAGUUAUAGACACAGAAAUAGCAAACACAGACUUAUGUUCUUUUAUAUCUUUAGAAACAAGUAUUAAAAUAACCAAUUUCUUGUGAUUAUUAUCGUUAAAAGUUAAAACAAUUUUAAAGGGACAGUAUUUGAAAUUCUUUUCUCAGAUCCAAAAUUUUGUAGAACAUUGAAGAAGAUAAGUUUUAGAGGGUUUUACUAGCUUUUUCUAUUGUGAAUAUCAAUUAAAAAUUAUAUUCACUUUAAAUCUGUACUCCCACUAUUGUUUUCCAUGACCCAACAUCUGCAAAGAGUACAUCUAUAUUAUGUCAAUACCUUCUGGUCACUGAAUGCGCUACUCAAUGUUACUAUUGUAAUUUUCCACUAAUAGACUAAUUAUCACCCAAUUACAACAUUUUUUUGUAUUUUACUGAAUUAAUGACAGUUAUUUUUUAGCCUGUAAGGGGGUAUUCUACAAAAAUUGGCACUUAAUCACUUCUUAGGGAUUGAAGCUUUUCUCUGGUUCGCUUCUGGAAAUGCAAUCAUAUCUGCAACAACAGUUUAGUUAGCUUAAACAUCAAGAUGACCCUUCAGUCCUCAUGGUGCAACCACACAACUGUACAAGUUACAUCAAACUGUAACUAGUGUUAUAUCUUAAUGUAGACCUAUGGGUAUGAACUAAGGCUGAAAUGAUUGAUCUUUAAAGCCACACUUGUCAAUCUUUUUUAUUACUUAUUUUGCAUAGGAAGCGAAUUAUGAAAAAAAAAAAAAAAGUGCCUCAGUUCUUAAAGUGAUUAAUAAAAUUAUAUUGGUCCCCCGAGCUUUAAAAAGUCAUUUGAGUGUUGAUCACAAUAUGAUAUCAGUGAAUGAAGUUUAAAUUAUUUUUAUGAGUGCUGGUAAAGUAUUCGUUAAAGUCUAUAUCCCCUGUUAUAAAAAAUUAUUGCAAUGCUUGAUACAGUUUUUCUGCUGCUGCUAUCAAAUAUUGUUGGAGUCAGGAAUUCAUUGGGGUCACUCCAUACAAUGACAGAUUGGAUUAAAUGCAGGACAUUGAGAUGUCUUCCCAGGCUGCCAGCAUACAGCAGAUUUAUAUAAGCAUUUUAAUUAAGUUUUCAAUUACUAUUUCUUCGGCUACAACCUCCCCUAUAGCAUCCCUUCCUUUCUGAGCCUUGCCGUCAGCCAAAUUAUUGUGUCCUGUGCUGGGCAGCUGAGCAAAAUGCUGCAGGAUAUAGGGCUAAGUCCCCAUUCUCUCCUUUUCUCUCCCCCCCUUCCUCACUUUAUCCACAGUAAUCCCCAAGAGCCCUGGAUGAUAAUGGGUAAUGGAUCCGGGGGACCCAUCCCUUCCAGAAACACACACUCUCACACCCUUACACUCAGCGGUAAUGCUGAAGGUGCAAGUUCCUAUGUCUAACAUUCUGCGUCCCUGGACCUUGUAUCCAUGGCGAUUACCCCAUCUUCCCAAUCUGAAUCCAUACGUUCCAUAAUUCGUUAUCUGUAUUUCUACUGGGGCAGGUUUCAUAUUCAGGUGUUGGUGGAAAGUAACAGCAGAAAUGCAGAGUUUUCAUGGAAGCAAAAAUAAUGAGCAGCUCUCUCUCCAGAAGACUUCAGAGUUACUUGGUGAGAUGUAUCCUUUGGGGUGCCAUCAAGACUUUGUAAGACUAUCUAUUUUUGUCUUCGAUGACAGAAGUAUUACAUACGCCUGUGCAUUGAAAUUAACAAUAUGACUUUUAGUUUCCCUGCUUACAUUUAUAUUUUGAAAUAUUUGGGUGUUUUCAAAACAAAACUGAAGUUUUCGUUUGCAUUUCUGGAUUUAAUUACUUUUGGUGAGUGUCUAUAGCUGACUCAAUUUCUACAGCAGCAACAGUAUUGUGAAACCAAACUACAGUUGCAGUAUUGUGAAACUGUGGUGCACUGAGAUAUGCAGUCGUGCUUCCUUUCAUAAUAAAACGUCUGCAUUACGACUGAUACGGUUUCCUGUUCGUGGAGUAUCCUGUUCAUGGACUUCAGCUCAGCGUUUAACACCAUUGUUUCCAUUUUCAUCCAUCACAAGCUGGCUGACCUCACAGUGCCAGCCCCCACCUGUUAGUGAAUCACCAGCUUCCUGACAGAUAGGAGGCAGCAAGUGGGGUUUAGGAAUAUCAUAUCCAGCACCCGGACUUUCAGCACUGGUGCCCCCCAGGGGUGUGUUCUCUCCCUGCUGAUCUUCUCCCUCUACACCAACGACUGCACCUCAGGGGACCCAUCUGUCGGUCUCCUGAAGUUUGCGGAUGACAACACAGUGUCAUCAGUCUCAUCCAAGAUGGUGAUGAGUCUGCAUACAGACGGGAGGUGGAUCAACUGGUCCUCUGAUGCAGUCAGAACCAUCUGGAGCUGAACCUGCUCAAGACUGUGAAGCUGACAGUGGACUUACACAGGAGCCCUCCUGCACUCGCUCCCCUCACUAUUCUUAAUGACACAGCUUUCCCUGGAUUCACAGUCUCCAGGGACCUAAAGCUGACCUCUCACAUAGAUUCAAUUAAAAGAAAAAAAAAAGCCCAGCAGAGGUUGUACUCCCCGCGACAGCUCGCUUAGUUCAACCUACCUCAGAAGCUGCAGGUUCAUCUCUACGCCAUCAUCAUCCAGUCGGUUCUCCGCACAUCCAUCACUGUUUGGUUUGGGUCAGGCACCAAGCAGGACAGGAACAGACUUCAAGAGACUGUCAACUAACAGACUAUCAAGACUGCAGAAAAAAAAAAACAUUGGCUCUCUUGAAGUAUCUAUUAUGCACACAGUACAGGAAGCAAUUAUCUGAGCCAGCAGCACAAACAGGUAUGCAACAAAAUAGCCUUCUGGAUGUAAAGUACUCAAUUAUUGCAUACUGUCUGUUACUGUUGGCGUGUCCUGAUUUAAAUCUCAUUUUCUUCUGAACUCUGGGGCUUCAUUUAUAAAGACCUUCAUCAAGACUCAGAACUCAGUGUAGCUGUUGCCAGACUAUUUUACCUGUGUAUUUGAUUUGAUUUAACCAGGAUAACUGAUUAAAGAACUUUUGUAACAAGAGUGUUCUGGCCAAGACAGCUGCUGUACAUUCAAACAAAGUUACAGACAUACCAAUGUUUAAUAAUCACAGUACACAUGUCAGCAUUUCUCUAAUAAUACAGCAGAUGUCAUACUGUUUACCAUCGCUUAAAGAGUCUGUAAUAUUCCCAGAAUGAGAUCAUGAAAGGUGAAAAUGAAAAUAUAUUACAACAUAUAUGACAAUGAACAUCACAUGAUCCACAGUCAAAUGUCAGCGCACGUCUUACUGGAAGAGUGUUUUAGUCCAAGCUUAACUCUCUCCCACAGCAAGAAAUGUACAAAGCUUUUUUCUCUCUUCUGUAAAUUUCUCUGGUUGAGGAUUUAGGGUCCAGUGGUUGGAAUAUGGAUGAAAGGCUGUACUGUGUUGCUGCCUUGACCCAGCCUGGUGGUCAAUAUCCUGACCGAGACAAAUCAAACACCCCCCGAUGUCCAGUUGCCCGAGGCCAUUCAUCGCAUUUCAAAGUGCUUGGAUCUCAAACCUUUGCAAAGCCACGAGCAACUCCUUUUAACUGAUGCCCAGCAGCAACAGCACACAGAGCUGCAGAAUAAUUCAGCUCAUCCGCAGUAGGAGGCCAUACUCUAUCACGUAUCACAUUCAAAAGCUCAGAACCUGUUGAAAGACGCAUUUUCUUAGGUAGCCGUCUACCUUUGUUCUCUGCUUCAGAGCAAGCUAGCAGAAGCCUACUUUGUUAAACAAGGAACAAAAUCACUGACCUCUCGUUUUCUUGUGUCACAUCAGGAUGGGAUCAACACAUGCAUGAGGUCCGAGCUGGAUACUCUCAGGGGCUAAACUAGCAAUGUGCAACACACUGGAGCUAAAUCUAUCUCCUGCAAAAUUUGUUUGAAUAAAAUUGUAAUUCUAAAAUAGUAGAGGCUAAACCUUAACACAGGGCCAUGAUCCAUUUAUUUGUCUUUUUAAUUAAUCCGCAGCUUUUCCUGUUUUGGAUUGAGGAUCUACUAUAUCUUAAUACAAACAAGGCUUAAGUGUGAUACUGUAAAUAAUGGACGGUCGGCUGUUUAAACAAAAUAAACCCUUUGAUUAUACCUUUAUGUGAUUGUGAUUGCAUGUUAUUGAAUGUGCAAUGACACAAAUGAAUAUUAACCAGAUACAACAUUGUGAGCACAGGUCUGGUCUUAUCAUGUUUUUGGCCUCAAGGCAGUUGUCCUUGAGUCAUUUAAUUGGUAAUAUCUAGUUCAGAGAUUCAAUUAAAAUAAAUGAUGUGCACUGCAUUUUAAUUCACACAGCACUAGAGGGAUUCAAUGUCAGACUCUGCUCUGAAUCAGUGUUUAGGCUUUAAUGAUUUUAAGAGUCUGUGUAACUACACAUCAAAGAAAUAAUUCAACAUUUUGGGAAAAUGUUCUUUUUUGCUUUGCUUCAAUACAGUGUAAAAUACAACUGGAGGCUGUUGGCGAAAGCAGCUGGUAAAAAAGAUGAAUACAUAUUCAAGCGAUAAAAACAGUAUAUCUAGAUCCCUUAAGCUCAGCAGUGUCAACAUUGUUUAAUGUUUAAUAGGAACAUUGUGUAAAAGUUUUUGACAUGCAACUCCUCCCAAAACUGCACAAGUUCAUAUCAAUUCAACGUUGAUAUGCAGAGGUCACUUCUGGAGAUGGGGAUUUAUGGUGGUGAAGGUAGCAAUGGUCUUUAACGCUCUUAUCAGGAAUGUUGCAAUUAUGAUAGUUGACAAUAAUAAUAAUAAUAAUGAAAAGAACUCUUCUUGACUUUUGACAGCCAAAUAUUUUAUUCAGGGUAGAUAUUUCAUGUAAAAAAAUGAGCUAUUGACUCUUUAGCUUGACUGACACCUACCCCCUUGUGCCAUUAAAAAUUACAACAAAUGAAUCAUUGGUCUUGUUACUGAUGGUCUUGUUUGCUUACCAAUUUCAUCAAAAAAUGCAUCAAUUUGGGUUUCAGUCUAUUUAAUAAACAUGUUUUUAAAAAAUCCCAAUCUAUUGCUGUGGUGCAAGAAUUUCCAAUGCAGUGAAUAAAUUGAGUUGCACAUUCACUUUCUGUUUAAAUAAGAGCAUAAUAGUAAAUGGAUAUGAUCAACACCUCUAUUAUUAAAGGUGGGGUAGGCAGGAUCUGAGGAAGUGUCAGUUUUUAGGAGAAAUUUUGAAUGUAAACACUACCCCUCCCAACCAGUUUUCCCCUCAGCUCCUCCUCUCCCGCCAUCUCUGCUCCAAAAAUCCCCGCCCACAUACAGACACUCCUGCUCGCCUGCAAUUUUUCAAUUUAAUUCAGAUAUAAUGCAGAUAAAUAUGUCAGAUAAUUACAAAUGGGGCCCAGUCAACGUUAAAGUAAAAAGCACUGGUGCUACUGUAGAUUCCAACAGACUAUCAGCUAACACAAUGUUUGCAGGAUUUCUACAGCCAAGAUAAAGUGACAUACUCCAGUAUUUCUCCAGUAUUUACUUUGUUUUCUUGUUUGUGUUGGCAGUCAUGGCCAAAGGAGGAUUUAGACAACUUUCCAUACUUUCUGGUCGGUUUCUACUGUCUGAUAUUGUAGCACGCUAACUGUGUUUGGGCUCAUGAACAACACAAGGAAGCAGCGUCUGCCUCACAACCAAUCAGCACUAAGGAGCAGCGUCCGCCUCACAACCAAUCAGGUUGGGGGAGGAGGAGAAUGGCUUUGUUUACAGUCAGAAAGAGCGGAGCGCUCUAAAAAAUUUAAAAUGUUUACUACACAAAGAUAACAAAACACAGCGAUAUAUUACCAAAUGUCAUCAAUAAUUUAUAGCUACUGGCUGAUAUUAAAAGCUUUUUAGUAUGUAUGCCACAAAGAAGAUUCUUCUUUAACCAAAUUUUGCCUACCCCACCUUUAACCUCAAUCCC